UAGCGAUGAAGCGUGAGGUUGCCGCUGGAUUAGCGGGAGUUCCGUGGAGCGAGUCCGGUCAUUGA
rnacentral:ncRNA from 1 species